GUUGUUCGGAAUUAUUGGGCGUACAGGGCGCGUAGGCGGUUGGGUAAGUCUUGUGUGAAAUCUUCGGGCUCAACUCGAAGUCUGCACGAGAAACUAUCUGGCUUGAGUGUGGGAGAGGUGAGUGGAAUUCCUGGUGUAGCGGUGAAAUGCGCAGAUAUCAGGAGGAACACCGAUGGCGAAGGCAGCUCGCUGGGACGGUACUGACGCUGAGACGCGAAAGCGUGGGGAGCAAACAGG
rnacentral:rRNA from 1 species